rnacentral:rRNA from 1 species
UUCCAGACUCCUACGGGAGGCAGCAGUGGGGAAUAUUGGGCAAUGGAGGCAACUCUGACCCAGCAACGCCGCGUGAGUGAUGAAGGUCUUCGGAUUGUAAAACUCUUUAAGUGGGGACGAAGAAAGUGACUGUACCCACAGAAUAAGCCACGGCUAACUACGUGCCAGCAGCCGCGGUAAUACGUAGGUGGCAAGCGUUGUCCGGAUUUACUGGGUGUAAAGGGCGUGUAGCCGGGCUGACAAGUCAGAUGUGAAAUCCGGGGGCUCAACCCCCGAACUGCAUUUGAAACUGGUGGUCUUGAGUAUCGGAGAGGCAGGCGGAAUUCCUAGUGUAGCGGUGAAAUGCGUAGAUAUUAGGAGGAACACCAGUGGCGAAGGCGGCCUGCUGGACGACAACUGACGGUGAGGCGCGAAAGCGUGGGGAGCAAACAGGAUUAGAUACCCGGGUAGA